UAUGAUUUGUGAGUUAGCUCCCUGAUCCAUCUACCUUUGCGUGUUUCUGGGGGGCAAAACUCAGAAGUCAAAAAGUCUUCUCUGUUGACUUAUAUAAGUUGACCUCAAAUUGCGGUUCAUCUAACAUAAUUGCAGAUAAUUGGAGAUUCUCCUUCUUUAUCACUCUUUCAUGGCCACAACAGAAAAGACAGUGGCAGGGCAGUGGUCCAAUCUACCAAAGGAAUUGUUGUCACUCAUAGCCAACCACCACCUCCACUCCGUCACCAUCCACAUCCUCCGCAUCCGCGCCACCUGCACCUCAUGGCGCUCCGUCAUUCCUCCUCCCCUUCCUCCUCCUCCCUCUCACACCAUCUUUGGUCAACGGAUCUCCAUCCGUUGGUCCAAUUUCACGGUCACACAAACCUCAAUCUUCUACCGUCUCCACUACCAACCAUCUUCAAUUUCAUCUUCUUCUGAGAAGGGAUGGAUCAUCAUGGUCGGAAAUUCCACAUCCAAUCCAGUUCAGCUCUUGGAUCCAUUCACCGACCAACCGCUCUCAGAAACGGUUACACACCCAUAUGACUGUAAAACUCCACCAAAGCUCCUCAGCCUCUGCAACUUCCGCUUGGUUGAGUUAUUUGAAGCCUAUGCGCUCACACAGUUCGUUACUCGUCAAGAAGGCGAUUCCGGGUCCACUUCUUUCACGCCUUUUGAUCUUGUUAAAGCAAUAUUGUUUCCGAAUUCAACUUCCCAAACUUUUGAUGAGUCAUCACGCAUGGUUUUUGCACUCUACAGCAGUGGGAGGCUGUCGGUUUCAAGAAUUGAUGAAGAUGAGGGUUGGACUGCCCUAAACCAUGGGAAUUCUAGUUUUGAUGAUGUCAUCCUCCGCAAUGGGCAGCUUUAUGCUGUGGACAAGUGUGGAACCAUCUUCUGGGUCGAUUGUUCGACCAUGAAGCUGGUUCAGUUCAGUCCAAUCCUUUGUGAUUUUGAGGCAAAGAAGAAGAAGCGGUUGGUGGAUUGUAAUGGGAGCCUCUAUUUGGUUGAUAUUGAUACUGACAUUGAAAAGAAAGAAUAUUAUGAUGAGAAUAAUAAGGCUAUCAAGGUUUACAAGCUUGAUAUGGAUCAUGGGUGGCUCAAUGCGGAGAACUUGGGUAACGUGGUUUUUGUGUUGGGUGCAAGCUGCAGUUUUUCUCUCAGUGUUGAAGACUACCAUGGCUGCGAAGCAAAUUGCAUCUACUUGUACUCUCGUCACAGGGUUCGUGCUUUCAGCUUGGAAACAUGUAAGUUCAAGCGUCCUAAGCUCUUUUGGCCUUGUCCAUCUUUAUUUGAAUCCAGGUUCAAUUUGUGAAGGUAUGGGAAAGAGAAAAGGAAGAAAAACGAUGAAGCUGGAUUGUUUCUGAUUUUAUUUGGCUAUAUGUAGAGUUUUGUGCUCUUUGUUUCUAUGAUUGAGGAUUAGGAUGACAGAAUUAUGUUGUUAGACCCAAUGAUUUAAGUACUUGAGUUCUGAAAUGAAGCAGAUCAAGUCUUUGACAAACAGAAAUUAGCAUUAUGAUCAAACUAAUACAGGGUAGAAUGAAAAGAAGGUGGAAGGAGUGCUGAAACAGAGAAUGAAUGGAAUUAAACAAAUCAAAGAAUUGAACAAUGAUGAACGAAAUCAAAUCAUGAAUGAAAAAGAGAAAAUCAAAAUGACAAAAAUGAUAAGCUCAAUGGAUACAUUACUUCAUAACUCCAUUGUCAAGGAAUAGAAAUACUGGGUUUGGUAUGAGAAUUUGCAGGUUUCAUGCUUUCAGAUUGGAGACAUUCAUGUUGAAGGACCCUAAACUCUCUAGACACUAAACAUAUAAAAAAGGAAGAACAAGAAAAUGAAACCUAAAAACUCUCAGAAGGUAGGAAUGUUUGAGUUUUUUAUUUGGCUGUGUUUGUAGUCUUACAUUCUUGUCUUUAUGAGUAAGGUUUUUUAAUGUCAUUCUUCUUGCCCAAA